rnacentral:sRNA from 1 species
AGUGUAUCCACAAAUGGCACAGGUGCUGCUCAAUUUGAGCCUUUAGAUAGUUUUACUGGAUACAUAUAUCUAAAACAAUUGUCUGUAGUAGUUGACGCCUCUUACAGCUGUGUUAUCUAAACCGUGAACCUUUUGCAGUCUGGUAACAAUGACAAUUACAAACAAGAACCAUUGUUACACUGAGGGCGGCUCCAGGCUUCACUUUGUGCAAAAACAAGGCUGAUAAUUGGAUAAAGCGAAAUACAAAUUCAAAGCAGAGCAACACGGGUUUCUAAAAAGAUAGAGGUAGGAUCAGGUGCCUAGGAGGAGUGAGCAUCCUCUGCUGACCGGUCACACCCACCGUGUGCUCUUUGUCGUAAUCGGAAAAACGGAAAAGUCCGUAGACAAUUAGAUGAUUAACUAUGGUCUAACAAUUAGUAUGAAAAACGUCAGUCAGCAUGCGAACGAAUGGAAGAUUGUAUUUGCUGACAAGAUUGUUGUAUCAACCAUGCAACUCACGAAAAGAUGACUUCAAACGAGACUGUUCAUAGUCCUGUUUUCUCAACUUGUUUGUAAGAAGCUCGCCUUAAAAACUGUUUAUACAAAGAGCAUGGCGUUAUGUGUCGAAUUGACUGAGAGAUAAAAACCUCAUAUGCAGGUAUGAAGGUAUAUUGCUACAUAAGUAAGGAAAGUUGACUAUAGAAAAAUUGAAGUCAUCGCGUUUAUCAUAAACUUUUGUUGUUAGGUUACCAUCACUCUCCAUUUCCAGUUAAAUAUCCAAAUAUGAAACAGAUGACGCAGACUCUGUGAUAUCUUUUAUUCCAAUUUCACUGGGAUAUAUCGAGUCGACGUAAGUAUAGAAAUAACAAUUUUCAAUUGAUAAUACGUCGUCGAUAUACUUCAUUGUUGAGUUGAAUGCCACAGCGAGUGAAUUAUUUUUAUCACAUACAAAUUUUUGAAUAAAUUCUGCUUCAUUAGAAUA